GCAGCUGCGGUGCGCCCUCGUAACCCUAUCAGUGGUGGUGGUGGUGGUGGUGGUGAUGACUACCAAGGUCACUGCGGAGGCGGAGGCGGAGGCGGAGGCUGAGGCGUGCUGUGGGGGUCACCAUGGCGGCCACCACGGAGGUCACCACGGGGGUCACCACGGGGGUCACCAUGGAGGGUCAUCAUGGUGGCUUCGGAGGUCACCAUGGGGGUCAUCACGGAGGUCACCACGGAGGUCACCACGGUCACCAUGGCGGUUACUAUGGUUGGGGGAAGUAGAAGAUUUUUUUCCUGUGACAUCCAUUACCUGAAGGAGGGAUAAAGCGCUCUCUCUCUCUCUCUCUCUCUCUCUCUCUCUCUCUCUCUCUCUCUCUCUCUCUCUCUCUCUCUCUCUCUCUCUCUCUCUCUCUCUCUCUCUCUCUCUCUCUCUCUCUCUCUUUUCGGUCGGGUUAAAACAAUGAGAUGAAUAAAAUAAUGAAACAGAA